GUGUGUUCAUUGGGGUGACACAAUCUGAACCUCAAAAAGACAGAGUGUCUGAAAUUGAGAUAAUGGAGGGAACAUGGAAAACUAUUUAAUAUGAAUAUCAAAAUAUGCUGUCAGACUACAGCUGUUACUUUCACUUACAGUACUGACAUCUGUCCCCAGUGUGUUCAGGCUGGCAGUGACAGUAAGGCUGGUUUCCAGGAGUCACACUGCAGGUCCCUCCAUUUUGACAAUAUUCUUCACAGACUGUUUGACCACAGUUUGGUCCAGUGAACCCCAGUGCACAGCUGCAGGUUUGCUUUUGAAAACACAAUGGAGCCUGAAACUCAUCAGUGUCCAGGAAACCCAGUCAGAGGGUAAUUGGCAGAGGCGGGUGAGAUACUGGUCAUCACCUGCUAGUGCAGAGCACAGGAGGCAGGACUACUCACCAGAAGAUUCAAUAUGAAAAAGUAAUAAAGGGGAUUCAGACAACAACAAACACAGAGAAAGAAGUCAGAGAAUCAAAUGUAGUUUGUCUUCAGAAUCAAAAGGAAAUUUUGUUCAUCAAGAUAAUUAAGGGAGACAUGUAUGUGGGAAGAUACUGAAGUGAAAGGAAAUUACAAUCAUAGAAAAAAAAAUGUCCCAGUACCAGUGGAAUUAUACAAUUGAUAUGAUAUAUGUAGUGAAAUCCUGCUUUGUUCAUCUGAACCAUCUCCACAGUCAUCAAGUCGAUCACACUGAAGAUCCAUGGGGAUGCACUUCUUAUUGCUACAAGCAAACUCAUCUUUUUUACAGGGUCUUGCCUUGGAUGUCAGCUUACCUACAGAGUCAUUAAAAAAAUGAUCAGUGCUUCACA